GACGAACCGUCCGAACGUUAUUCGGAAUCACUGGGCUUAAAGGGUGCGUAGGCGGCGCGGAAAGUUGGGUGUGAAAUCCCUCGCUUAACCGAGGAACUGCGCCCAAAACUACCGUGCUUGAGGGAGAUAGAGGUGAGCGGAACUUAGGGUGGAGCGGUGAAAUGCGUUGAUAUCCUAAGGAACACCGGUGGCGAAAGCGGCUCACUGGAUCUCUUCUGACGCUGAGGCACGAAAGCUAGGGUAGCGAACGGG
rnacentral:rRNA from 1 species